GGUUUGUCGCGUUGUUCGUGAAAUCUCACGGCUUAACUGUGAGCGUGCGGGCGAUACGGGCAGACUUGAGUACUGCAGGGGAGACUGGAAUUCCUGGUGUAGCGGUGGAAUGCGCAGAUAUCAGGAGGAACACCGGUGGCGAAGGCGGGUCUCUGGGCAGUAACUGACGCUGAGGAGCGAAAGCGUGGGGAGCGAACAGGAUUAGAUACCCUGGUAGUCCACGCCGUAAACGGUGGGUACUAGGUGUGGGUUUCCUUCCUUGGGAUCCGUGCCGUAGCUAACGCAUUAAGUACCCCGCCUGGGGAGUACGGCCGCAAGGCUAAAACUCAAAGAAAUUGACGGGGGCCCGCACAAGCGGCGGAGCAUGUGGAUUAAUUCGAUGCAACGCGAAGAACCUUACCUGGGUUUGACAUGCACAGGACGCCGGCAGAGAUGUCGGUUCCCUUGUGGCCUGUGUGCAGGUGGUGCAUGGCUGUCGUCAGCUCGUGUCGUGAGAUGUUGGGUUAAGUCCCGCAACGAGCGCAACCCUUGUCCCAUGUUGCCAGCGGGUAAUGCCGGGGACUCGUGAGAGACUGCCGGGGUCAACUCGGAGGAAGGUGGGGAUGACGUCAAGUCAUCAUGCCCCUUAUGUCCAGGGCUUCACACAUGCUACAAUGGCCGGUACAAAGGGCUGCGAUGCCGCGAGGUUAAGCGAAUCCUUUUAAAGCCGGUCUCAGUUCGGAUCGGGGUCUGCAACUCGACCCCGUGAAGUCAGAGUCGCUAG
rnacentral:rRNA from 1 species